rnacentral:rRNA from 1 species
AAUUUUGGACAAUGGGCGCAAGCCUGAUCCAGCCAUUCCGCGUGCAGGAUGAAGGCCCUCGGGUUGUAAACUGCUUUUGUACGGAACGAAAAGGUGCCGGUUAAUACCUGGCGCUCAUGACGGUACCGUAAGAAUAAGCACCGGCUAACUACGUGCCAGCAGCCGCGGUAAUACGUAGGGUGCAAGCGUUGUCCGGCAUCAUUGGGCGUAAAGAGCUCGUAGGCGGCUUAGUAAGUCGGGUGUGAAAACCCCAGGCUCAACCUGGGGACGCCACCCGAUACUGCUAUAGCUAGAGUCCAGUAGGGGAGUGUGGAAUUCCCAGUGUAGCGGUGAAAUGCGCAGAUAUUGGGAGGAACACCAGCGGCGAAGGCGGCACUCUGGGCUGGUACUGACGCUGAGGAGCGAAAGCGUGGGUAGCGAAC